rnacentral:rRNA from 1 species
UUACCCCGCUGAAAMUUAAGCAUAUCAAUAAGCGGAGGAAAAGAAACUAACAAGGAUUCCCCUAGUAACUGCGAGUGAAGCGGGAAAAGCUCAAAUUUAAAAUCUGGCGGUCUCUGGCCGUCCGAGUUGUAGUCUGGAGAAGCGUCUUCCGCGUUGGACCGUGUACAAGUUUCCUGGAACGGAGCGUCGUAGAGGGUGAGAAUCCCGUCUUUGACACGGAUCGCCAAUGCUUUUGUGAUGCGCUCUCAAAGAGUCGAGUUGUUUGGGAAUGCAGCUCAAAAUGGGUGGUGAAUUCCAUCUAAAGCUAAAUAUUGGCGAGAGACCGAUAGCGAACAAGUACCGUGAGGGAAAGAUGAAAAGCACUUUGGAAAGAGAGUUAAACAGUACGUGAAAUUGUUGAAAGGGAAACGCUUGAAGUCAGUCGCGUCGGCCGGGACUCAGCCUCGCAUCAGCUUGGUGUACUUUCCGGUCGACGGGCCAGCGUCAGUUUUGACCGUGGGAUAAAGGUGGAGGGAAUGUGGCUCUUUCGGGAGUGUUAUAGCCCUUCGUCGGAUGCCGUGGUUAGGACUGAGGGACUCAGCACGCCUUCAUGGCCGGGGUUCGCCCACGUACGUGCUUAGGAUGCUGGCGUAAUGGCUUUAAACGACCCGUCUUGAAACACGGACCAAGGAGUCUAACGUGCCUGCGAGUGUUCGGGUGAAAAACCCGUGCGCGUAAUGAAAGUGAAAGUUGGGAUCCCUGUCGUGGGGUGCACCGACGCCCGGACCAGAUCUUUUGUGACGGUCCUGCGGUAGAGCAUGUAUGUUGGGACCCGAAAGAUGGUGAACUAUGCCUGAAUAGGGUGAAGCCAGAGGAAACUCUGGUGGAGGCUCGUAGCGAUUCUGACGUGCAAAUCGAUCGUCAAAUUUGGGUAUAGGGGCGAAAGACUACAUCGAACCACUCUCAGUAGCUGGUUCCUGCCGAAGUCYCCCCCYYCAGGAAA